UACGAAGGGUGCAAGCGUUACUCGGAAUUACUGGGCGUAAAGCGUGCGUAGGUGGUUUGUUAAGUCUGUUGUGAAAGCCCCGGGCUCAACCUGGGAAUGGCAAUGGAUACUGGCAGGCUAGAGUGCGGUAGAGGGUAGUGGAAUUCCCGGUGUAGCGGUGAAAUGCGUAGAGAUCGGGAGGAACACCAACGGUGAAAACAGACAGCUGGGAGUGUGCUGACGCUGAGACACGAAAGCCAGGGGAGCGAACGGG
rnacentral:rRNA from 1 species